rnacentral:tRNA from 1 species
GGGGUCGUGGCCAAGCCCGGCAUGGCGACUGACUCCAGAGGCUCCGCCCGGUGACGACACUCCAGACUGAUAUUCCGAGCGCGCGACUGAUCAUCGCCGCGCGACGACGACCCUCUGGAGUACCGAGGCGCAACCGGAGAUAUCAGUCGAUCGGGGGUUCAAAUCCCUCCGACCCCA